GUGAGUACCGCGCGGGCGGCUCGGGGCGGCACGGCCGGCGGCAGUGAUGCUGCGGGAGUCGGGAGCUCCUGUAAAGAGGCCGCGUUCCGGGGGUUCCAGAGUGAGAGAACCUUGGGGGGGGGGGGGGGGGGGGGGGGGGGGGGGGGGGGGGGAAACGCCACCGACAGGGGUGGUGGACUCACUGGGUCGGCAGGUAUCUGUCCCAGGCCGCCGCUGCCUUCUCGCUCCUUCACCUCUCUGCCUGAAGGGCCCAUUGGCCGGGGUCAUGGCGGGGUCACGCCCCAGAGACAGUUGCUCUAGGUGAGGCGUGGCCUGGACUUGAGGAAGUGCUGUUGGCACUUUAGAAGUCCAGGGUGCAGGCCGGGAGCUGUCCAGCCUCGCCUGGGGUCCUGCACUGGCGUUUAAUCCGGCUCGCCUGGGGCUACCGAAAAGGGAAUUGAGAUUGAGGAGGCCUUGUUGGAAAGGUGAGGCGUGCAAUUCGGGUAUCUUCUCACCCCAUUUCUUUGAGGACUCCCUGAAGGAUUCUGAGUGGACUGGAACCCCAGUAGCAGCUCUCCUGUGCCUUUGACCCACACUGGGCUGGAAGCUGAGCAGAGCUAGGUGUAGUCUCCACUCUUCCCCACACUGGGGCUUGGCUCCCCGGGAGCCAUCCAGCUGCCAGCCCACCUCUUUUCUCCCCAUGAUCUUGCCUCUCAUGGAUUCAUGGAUUCCGGGGCCCUGGGGUCCCAGAUCACAGGACUGAGCUGGGGACCCAGCUAGAGCCCUACUGGGCAAGUUGAGAUUGUGGAACACAGCCUUCACAGUGUGUGAACAACGGUGAUGGGGACUUGGGUGACAGCUGCAGUGGGGUGAUCCCACCGGUGGCUGGGGCAGAGUCGACAGUGACAAGGGUCAUCCCGGGCACAGACUGUGCUCAUCCAGGCCCUGAACAUCCUAGGAGGAGGCUCUGGCUAGCCCCUAGGGGAUGGAGUAGGACAGGGUCUGGUCCUUGUCUGGCCACUGGCCACUGUCUUGAGCAGGCUCCUGAGGUACCACCCUUGCUUCAGAAGCUGUGAAGGAGCCCUGUGUCUGAACCUAGCUAGGAAUGCUGAGCUUCCCUGGACUCUGGCCCGGGAAGGGGUCACUUUGAGGCAGGCCUGGACCUCCUGGUCCGCUUGUCUUCCUGGCCCCUCCCCCAGGCCCAGGAGGUAGGACCCAGGCUGGGAAUGAUGUAGUGAAGGCUCCUCUCGUGCCAGCCCUAACCAGACAUUGAAGCAGGGGCUGCCAACCUGACCUGCCACUAUCUUCCUGGGCAGGAAUAACUCUGGUCCUGUCUCUCUAGCCCUUGGUUUUCCUACCUAUAAACGGGGAAUAACAGUGCCAUAGGUAGCCCACCUGUCUCACUAAGGUAAGUCAGAGGGUGAUACGAGACAAUGGGGGUGAAAAGCUCUCAGAAAGGGCAUUUACUCUGCUGGUUUCUGUUGUUAGUGCCCAGUGAAUGGGCAAAUUACUCGCCCCUUUAACUAAAUCUCAUCUGUUGAGUGGGGUUAUGGAGGUUUGGACCAGCUGACCUCAUAGGCCCUUCCAGCUCUGAUGGUCUUUGAGUCUGUGAAUCUGUCUCAGUUUUUGUUGGAGGAAGGGAACUGUCUGGACAGUGGACGGGUGUGAUGUCCAGUCUUUGGAAUUGUCACUGAGACUUGAAGAAUGAAGACUCGUGGGUGCUUUACCCUCAUCAUUUUACCUGCACCUCUCGGCCCUGUGGGAGAACAAUGAGAUUCUUACCCCCAGUGCAUAGAUGAGGGAGCUGAAGCUUGUCUGAGGGUGCAGAACCCAUGAGGGUCCCAUUCCUCAUUCUCCUCAUUGCUCUGGGAUGGGGAAGGAUGCCUGUGGAGGCAGCGGCUUUGGCUGUCACAGUAGAGAGAGCCCACCACCCUAUCUCUGGUAGCUCUCGGAGGGUGGGCCAGGGCCAGCUGGCACUCCUGAAGCUGUGAUCCCGGGUCUGGGCUGGACUGAGAGGUGUCUGCAGCAAAGCCGGGCUCCUAGGUUACCAGUUUGUCAGCCAGCAAAUCUCAGUCCCGUCCCUGUCAUCCCUGUUAGCUGCCCUGUGACUUGGUGCUGGUUGCUUUGCCUGGAGCUUCAGUUUCUUCAUCUUAAAACGGGGACAGGAAUGCCUGCUUCUCAGUUUACUGUGAGGUUCCAAGGAGGAAGCAAAGCGUGUAAUUUAGACACCCUCUGCAUGUUCGAGCUGCCCCUGGGGUGAGCAGCCGUGUGAACUAGGAAAGGAUAACGUUGCUUUCCCUGCUUUGGAAGUUUUAGACCCUCUACAAUGAUAUGGGCUUGGUCUUGAGUAAAAAUUUUCUUGUAUUUGAAAGUUAAGUUUUCCUCAGGAAGUCUUGACAUCUUCUUUGCUCUUGCUCCCCGAGGUUCUGGGUGGGGUGCUGGGGGCUGUGACAUGGCCUGCUGCAGAACACCCCCUCUAUCCAGGAACCCUACCUUCACAGGGUCUGGGGAGGACUUGGCAUACGGACCUCAGACACCCCCCUGAUCCACGCAGACACUGAAUGGUUUAGGUGUUCACACACACAUGCCACACUCAGAUACACACGUGCAAUUUAGCCCAGGGACAAACAUACAGAUUCACGAUAGGAAUGCAUGGACUCACACCCUUAGGUUGGAUAUUCAUAGUCACAGAAAUCAACACACAAUGAUAAAUACAGGCAUGUGUCUAAAUGGGAACACACGCAGAACCCACACGUAGGCUUAAAUAGACUCAAGUAGGCAUUCCUUCAGCCACACAAAAAUACACGAGACCUACAGUGGCUUUUGGAGUCACAAGCUGGUGUGCCAGUUCACACAAAAAGGCACACUGUCAUGUUCACACACAGGAGCACACAGAGCCAGCCACGCACACUCUGCCACCCAAUGCAUAGACACAAAGAGGCCCACCCCACAUGUCACAUAGACAUACACAUAUACACCUACACCCUGUAGGAACUGACACAUCUGCACAAGGGAUCGGAAAGCAGAGGAGGGGGCUGUCCCCAGCCCAGAAUGUGGUCCGCACAGCUCAGAGGCUCCUGGGCCUCUCUCCCCAGCAGGGACCCUGCCCAGCCCGCCCCCAGGCCAGGAGCUGCCUGGGCUUUCCCAGAGUGGCGCAGCCUCCUCCAGGCUCUGGAGUGUGACCGAGCGCCUGCUCAUUUGACACAGGUCACCGAGCCUCCAGCAGAUGGGGCCCUCGCUGUGGGGGGUCUCCGAGCCAGAGGGGCUGCAGGGGGAGGCUCUGCAGGGAUGAACGGCAGCUACACAAACUCCAGCCCCACAUACUCUCUCUGCAGAGCCCCAAGUCGCAGACACAAACCUCUGCCAUCUACAUUCGCGUUCCCUCCUGGGAGAUUCAGGCACAGCCUCUAGAACACAACCACACUCUCCAUCAGCACCCUCGUGGUCACAUACGCACUGUUAUAUUCCAGACACACGUCCCAGACAGGUGAACCUACACAAUGGUACGCCGAGCAAGAUUUGGGAGGGAGGAAGAAAGGGCAGCCUGGUCUGGCUGCUUUCCCCCUUUGGACUCUGAGCCUCUGCGCUGUGUCUUUCGGUCAGUCAGUGGGUACUCGGAGCCCAGGAAGCGCUGAGAGCAGAUGUUGCUGCAGACCUAUGGCCUUUUCAGUGCUGGGGGAAGACAGGCUCCGGGACAUUCCACCUGGAUUCCUUGAAGUCAGGAGUGCUGAGAAGAGUUCAAGGGAGGAGAGAUCGGGGCUCAGGGGGGGCGCUGCUGGAGGAGCUGGUGUCUUCGGAUGCCCUCCUGUGUGCGUGGACUUUGAGUCUUUGUCUGGGGGGGCCAGCAUGCGGGCAGCACUCAGAGGCCACUGCCUUUCGCUUCUGCCUGUCUCCUUAAGCCCUAGAUCCCAUGUUUUCAGAGUGUCAGGGUUUGGGUUCCACUUUGGCUCUGACUCAGGCCCACGGGAUGACAUUGGACCAGUCUCAGCCCCCUAGUUUCUGUGGACCUCAGUAUCCUCAUCUGUAAGCUGGGCAGGAUGGUCUCUGUUGGAUUCUUGUGAAGCCGAGAUGAGAUCACUGCCUGGAUGGAAACCUGUAAAGGGAAAGUGUAGCUUGGUUCUUCUCCCUGGCUGCCUGGGGUGAGUAAGAGGCUGCGUGCGCAGGAGCGGAAACUGCCUGCUCUGCAACCAGUUCUCGCUAAGCAGUGUCAGGAGUGACCACACCCUGCUCAGACCCUGCUCAUUCUGGGCUGGAAUGCUUGUCUGCCUUGAAGCAUCUGUCAGGGUUCUGGCUGUCAGAGUCCUACCUGGGGAGCUGCCAGGGGCAUCUUGUCUAUUCACUACCUUGGUGCAAGUUGUGGCAGCUAGGUAGGUUCGGAGUGCUCACCACCGUCCAGAAAGCUCUCCCACAUGGGCUGGGAUCACUGUUCUGAGCUCGAGCCCCUACCUCCUCCCCUAUAAGGUGUCCUCCUGGUGUCCUACCUCUUCUGUCCUUCCUGUGCUGGCAGGAACCUAGCAUAGAGGGCCAGGAGGGGCGCUGCUGCCUCUGGUAGGGGAGAAAGAAGCAGCCUCACUUACUGAAUGGAAGGUCCCCCAUCUCUCAGCCUUGGUGAAGGAAAGGCGGGCUGGAAGGGGAAAUGUCUCUUAGGGGGUGAACUUUUCCUUGCCUUUUCUUUUCCUGCCUCAGCCGCUAGGCCUAUGGGUAGGGGUGAGGAUCCUCCCAGUGCAUCAGUAGAAUAUUCAAAUUAGGGCUGGUCAAUUGCUCUUGAAAUUUACUUUCAUUUUUAGCAGAAUGGCAGCCUCUGAGCUGGAGUUAAUGCCCACAAUCCGGU
rnacentral:lncRNA from 1 species